GCUUUCGUGGUAUAACGGUAGUACACUCGAUUCGUAUUCCAGAGCUCCAGGUUCGAGUCCCGGCGAGGGCA
rnacentral:tRNA from 1 species